rnacentral:tRNA from 1 species
CAGUAGUUAAACUCUACUAUUAAGGA